AGAUAAUAGAUACCCGGGUAGUCCACGCCCUAAACGAUGUCGACUGGUUGUUGGGGGUUUGACACUCUCAGUAAACGAAAGCUAAACGCGUGAAGUCGACCGCCUGGGGAGUACGGCCGCAAGGUUAAAACUCAAAGGAAUUGACGGGGACCCGCACAAGCGGUGGAUUAUGUGGAUUAAUUCGAUGCAACGCGAAAAACCUUACCUACCCUUGACAUGUCCAGAAGGCUGCUGAAAGGCGGCUGUGCCCGAAAGGGAACUGGAACACAGGUGCUGCAUGGCUGUCGUCAGCUCGUGUCGUGAGAUGUUGGGUUAAGUCCCGCAACGAGCGCAACCCUUGUCAUUAGUUGCUACCCGCAAGGGAGCACUCUAAUGAGACUGCCGGUGACAAACCGGAGGAAGGUGGGGAUGACGUCAAGUCCUCAUGGCCCUUAUGGGUAGGGCUUCACACGUAAUACAAUGGCGCGUACAGAGGGUUGCCAAGGAGCGAUCUGGAGCCAAUCCCGUAAAGCGCGUCGUAGUCCGGAUUGCAGUCUGCAACUCG
rnacentral:rRNA from 1 species